rnacentral:rRNA from 1 species
UACGGAGGGUGCAAGCGUUAUCCGGAUUCACUGGGUCUAAAGGGUGCGUAGGUGGAUUGGUAAGUCAGUGGUGAAAUCUCCGGGCUUAACCCGGAAACUGCCAUUGAUACUAUCAGUCUUGAAUACCGUGGAGGUCAGUAGAAUAUGUCAUGUAGCGGUGAAAUGCUUAGAUAUGACAUAGAAUACCAAUUGCGAAGGCAGCUGGCUACACGAAUAUUGACACUCAGGCACGAAAGCGUGGGGAUCAAACAGG